rnacentral:rRNA from 1 species
UGACUGAGCGGCGGACGGGUGAGUAACGCGUGGGUAACCUGCCUCAUACAGGGGAAUAACAGUUAGAAAUGGCUGCUAAUGCCGCAUAAGCGCACAGGACCGCAUGGUCUGGUGUGAAAAACUCCGGUGGUAUGAGAUGGACCCGCGUCUGAUUAGGUAGUUGGCGGGGUAACGGCCCACCAAGCCGACGAUCAGUAGCCGACCUGAGAGGGUGACCGGCCACAUUGGGACUGAGACACGGCCCAGACUCCUACGGGAGGCAGCAGUGGGGAAUAUUGCACAAUGGAGGAAACUCUGAUGCAGCGACGCCGCGUGAAGGAAGAAGUAUCUCGGUAUGUAAACUUCUAUCAGCAGGGAAGAAAAUGACGGUACCUGACUAAGAAGCCCCGGCUAACUACGUGCCAGCAGCCGCGGUAAUACGUAGGGGGCAAGCGUUAUCCGGAUUUACUGGGUGUAAAGGGAGCGUAGACGGACGGGCAAGUCUGAUGUGAAAGCCCGGGGCUUAACCCCGGGACUGCAUUGGAAACUGUCCAUCUUGAGUGCCGGAGAGGUAAGCGGAAUUCCUAGUGUAGCGGUGAAAUGCGUAGAUAUUAGGAGGAACACCAGUGGCGAAGGCGGCUUACUGGACGGUAACUGA